rnacentral:ncRNA from 1 species
AAACUAGGUUUUUUAUAUCAUGUUCAUUUUAAAUGUAAAUAUUAUUUUGAAUUAUAAAUUUAUUUAAAUAAGAUAAAAUUAAAAAUUGCAGUGAAUAGAUUUAUUAAUUUAAUAGUUUAAGAUUUAGUGAAAUAGGAAAGUAUAAACAAAUUUUGUGCCAGCAGUAGCGGUUAUACAGGUUAUACAAUAAAAAAAAUAUUGAAUAUUAGUUAAUAAAUAUUAAUAUAAUUAAAAAUUAAGAUUUUUAAGGUGAAAUUUCAAAUCUUAAAAAUAUUAAAAAUAUGAGGCUAAGAAAUUUUAGAUAAAACUAGGAUUAGAUACCCUAUUAUAAAAGAGUAGAUUUUAUUUCUUGUUAUUAUAAGAUUAAUUUCUUCAAAAUAAAAAAAAUUGGCGGUGUUUUAUUCUAUUCAGAGGAAUCUGUUCUAUAAAUGAUAACCCACGUUUAAUUUGUCUUUUUUUUUGAUUUACAUAUCGCCGUGGUAUGAGUAUCUUUUUAAGGUAUGUUCAAGAUUUAAAUAUAAUGCAUUUCAGGUCAAGAUGUAGUUUAUGAAAAAGUAGAAAUGGAUUACAGUUACGGAAAGUAAUAAUGGAUAAAAGUUUUAAUUAAAUUUUUAGAAAUUGGAUUUGAGUGUAAUUUUUUAAUUAUUUGAGAAAUGAUUUUGCUCUAAAAUAUGCACAUAUUGCCCGUCGCUUUCAUAUAAAUUGAAAUAAGUCGUAACAAAGUAGAUGUACUGGAAAGUGUAUCUAGAAACAG